UACGAAGGGGGCUAGCGUUGCUCGGAAUGACUGGGCGUAAAGGGCGCGUAGGCGGCUCAUACAGUCAGAUGUGAAAUUCCUGGGCUUAACCUGGGGGCUGCAUUUGAUACGUGUGGGCUUGAGUGGGGAAGAGGGUCGUGGAAUUCCCAGUGUAGAGGUGAAAUUCGUAGAUAUUGGGAAGAACACCGGUGGCGAAGGCGGCGACCUGGUCCGUGACUGACGCUGGGGCGCGAAAGCGUGGGGGAGCAAACAGG
rnacentral:rRNA from 1 species